AUUGAACGCUGGCGGCAGGCCUAACACAUGCAAGUCGAACGGUAACAGGAAACAGCUUGCUGUUUCGCUGACGAGUGGCGGACGGGUGAGUAAUGUCUGGGAAACUGCCUGAUGGAGGGGGAUAACUACUGGAAACGGUAGCUAAUACCGCAUAACGUCGCAAGACCAAAGAGGGGGACCUUCGGGCCUCUUGCCAUCGGAUGUGCCCAGAUGGGAUUAGCUAGUAGGUGGGGUAACGGCUCACCUAGGCGACGAUCCCUAGCUGGUCUGAGAGGAUGACCAGCCACACUGGAACUGAGACACGGUCCAGACUCCUACGGGAGGCAGCAGUGGGGAAUAUUGCACAAUGGGCGCAAGCCUGAUGCAGCCAUGCCGCGUGUAUGAAGAAGGCCUUCGGGUUGUAAAGUACUUUCAGCGGGGAUGAAGGGAGUAAAGUUAAUACCUUUGCUCAUCGACGUUACCCGCAGAAGAAGCACCGGCUAACUCCGUG
rnacentral:rRNA from 1 species